rnacentral:rRNA from 1 species
CCCUUAGAUGUUCUGGGCCGCACGCGCGCUACACUGAUGCAUGCAACGAGUUCUAUCCUUGGCCGGAAGGCCUGGGUAAUCUGUGAACGUGCAUCGUGAUAGGGAUAGAUUAUUGCAAUUAUUAAUCUUGAACGAGGAAUUCCUAGUAAACGCAAGUCAUCAGCUUGCAUUGAUUACGUCCCUGCCCUUUGUACACACCGCCCGUCGCUCCUACCGAUUGAAUGGUCCGGUGAAGCGUUCGGACCGUGGCCUUUGGACGGUUCGCCGUCUGUUGGCUGCGGGAAGUUCGUUAAACCUUAUCAUUUAGAGGAAGGAGAANUCGUANCA